rfam:Salmo salar isolate Sally breed double haploid chromosome ssa13, whole genome shotgun sequence.
UGCAUUCACUACUGUAAGUCGCUCUGGAUAAGAGCGUCUGCUAAAUGACGUAAC